rnacentral:rRNA from 1 species
AGUGAACGCUGGCGGUAGGCCUAACACAUGCAAGUCGAACGGUAGCACAGUAAGAGCUCGCUCUUACGGGUGGCGAGUGGCGGAUGGGUGAGGAAUACAUCGGAAUCUACUUUUUCGUGGGGGAUAACGUAGGGAAACAUACGCUACUACCGCAUACGACAUACGGGUGAAAGCAGGGGAGCUUCGGACCUUGCGCGAUCGAAUGAGCGGAUGUCGGAUUAGCUAGUUGGCGGGGUAAAGGCCCACCAAGGCGACGAUCCGUAGCUGGUCUGCGAGGAUGAUCAGCCACACUGGAACUGAGACACGGUCCAGACUCCUACGGGAGGCAGCAGUGGGGAAUAUUGGACAAUGGGCGCAAGCCUGAUCCAGCCAUACCGCGUGGGUGAAGAAGGCCUUCGGGUUGUAAAGCCCUUUUGUUGGGAAAGAAAAGCAGCAGGUUAAAACCUCGCUGUUCUGACGGUACCCAAAGAAUAAGCACCGGCUAACUUCGUG